rnacentral:rRNA from 1 species
UUGCGAAAGUAAGACUAAUACCCAAUGAUAUCCCACGAAGGCAUCCGAAUGGGAUUAAAGAUUUAUCGGUGAUGGAUUGGGGGAUGCGUCUGAUUAGCUUGUUGGCGGGGGUAACGGCCCACCAAGGGCUACGAUCAGUAGGGGUUCUGAGAGGAAGGUCCCCACAUUGGAACUGAGACACGGUCCAAACUCCUACGGGAGGCAGCAGUGAGGAAUAUUGGUCAAUGGGCGAGAGCCUGAACCAGCCAAGGUAGCGUGCAGGAUGACGGCCCUAUGGGUUGUAAACUGCUUUUAUAAGGGAAUAAAGUGGGUCUCGUGAGACUUUUUGCAUGUACCUUAUGAAUAAGGACCGGCUAAUUCCGUG